UACGGAGGGAGCUAGCGUUGUUCGGAAUUACUGGGCGUAAAGCGCACGUAGGCGGAUCAGUCAGUUAGGGGUGAAAGCCCAGGGCUCAACCCUGGAACUGCCUUUAAUACUGCUGGUCUGGAGGUCGAGAGAGGUGAGUGGAAUUCCGAGUGUAGAGGUGAAAUUCGUAGAUAUUCGGAGGAACACCAGUGGCGAAGGCGGCUCACUGGCUCGAUACUGACGCUGAGGUGCGAAAGCGUGGGGAGCAAACAGG
rnacentral:rRNA from 1 species